CUACGCACUCCUACGGGAGGCAGCAGUGGGGGAAUAUUGCACAAUGGGCGCAAGCCUGAUGCAGCCAUGCCGCGUGUGUGAAGAAGGCCUUCGGGUUGUAAAGCACUUUCAGUCGUGAGGAAGGUAGUGUAGUUAAUAGCUGCAUUAUUUGACGUUAGCGACAGAAGAAGCACCGGCUAACUCCGUGCCAGCAGCCGCGGUAAUACGGAGGGUGCGAGCGUUAAUCGGAAUUACUGGGCGUAAAGCGCAUGCAGGUGGUUUGUUAAGUCAGAUGUGAAAGCCCCGGGGCUCAAACCUCGGAAUAGCAUUUUGAAACUGGCAGACUAGAGUACUGUAGAGGGGGUAGAAUUUCAGGUGUAGCGGUGAAAUGCGUAGAGAUCUGAAGGAAUACCGGUGGCGAAGGCGGCCCCCUGGACAGAUACUGACACUCAGACUGCGAAAGCGUGGGGAGCCAAACAGGAUUAGAUACCCUGGUAG
rnacentral:rRNA from 1 species